ACAGAGGGUGUCACCCAGAGACCACUGCAGUGCUGGGCACUCACCACCCCCUGAGACAACCCUUUCCUGGGGAAGAGCCCGCAGAGCUGAAAAAGUCCCUCCCCUAGUGACCCAACCUCCUCUGGGCCAUGGUCCACCCAGAGUGCAGAGUGCAGACCAUCUUCUGGAGCAAAUGGCUACCAGGGUCUGACCCCACCACAGCCGCUCCAGCCGCAGGCACACUUGCUCACGCUGACCCCCGCAGGUGUUGUGAGGUGACCCUGCCCCCCUUUGCGCCCUCCUAGAAUGGCACAGGGUCUCCAGAGGCCCCGCCCCACAGAUAGCAGGUGGAGAGCAGGGGCCAGAGCUGCCCACAUCCUGCAGGGCAGCACUCAGUCCACGGCCACAGCGCAGGCUGCAAGCUGGUACUUGCACCCUGUUCCUGGGCACCGACAUCCAGACCUGAAGUGGUGUCUCCACUCACUCCUGCUGCACCUCACCCCCUGGCCAUCUCCCGCCAGCUCCGCCCUCCGAACUCGGCUGCACCAGCGCAGCAUGAGAACCUCACCAGCACGGCCUGCUGAACAGGCAGAACUGAGCUUCCCCUGGGCAGGCCUCCUGCCCGCGACACCAGCACCGUCCCUAGGAGCACCCGUCCUGCAGCAGUAGCAACGGUCAUCCCUUUCUUCACCGCCGGGAUGGCUGCAGCCGUCCACUGUGUGCUUGCGUUUGGGUUAUUUCCAGUCUGGGAAUGUUGCAGACCAGCCUGUUAGAACCCCUCAAUGGACACGUUUUAUUAUUAAAAAUAAGUGAACGGGGCAAA